GAAGUGGGCGAGCCUCAGCCAAAAUAAAAGUCCAGCUCAGAGAGCGGGGGCGGCGAUACCGUUUCGCUCUCGGCCAAUGGGCGAAAUAUCAACACAGUAAAUGAUUAAAAAUAAACACACCGGCCCGACUUCAUGCGUGGAACGAGCUCGCUGCAUGUCGAUUAAUCAGUCGCAAUGUCUUAAGUAUUAACACAAAUCUAUUGCCGAGUCCGCGAGGGGAAAGGCAACCUCUGACAAUGACAAUCAAUAAUAAAUAAUAUUCUUCGUGACAAAGGCAGAUUUACUUUUAGGUUCUGCUGUAAAGAUGCAUUCAAUGCCACCACUUUUGGUGCGUGGUGUGCGUUUUUAAUACUGAUUGACGUUAUAUCGUUCUUUCGGUUUCUCGAGGAGCAAACACCGAAUCAAGAAAAUCCCAACUUUAACUUUGCCCCCACGAUAAAGCAAGGAAUCAAGUAACAAGUCGCCUUUGCUUCGUGAUGGAAAAGGCUCUGCUUUUAACUCGUGCAGUCUGAUGACUAAAAACUUCUGCGUUAAACCUCGGGACUCUUAUUUUGCAAUGGAGAUGCAAUUAGCUUUGUAUUGCAACUCUAUGAAAGCUUGUACAAAAUAAGUAACCACUGUGGAAGAAGCUCUAGCGGCGCAUUAAACAGAAAUAAAAAAAUAUAUACCAUAUAAAACAGAAAGCAGGCAAUAGAGGCCUUCAACUUAAAGAUGUUUCAAAGUGCAGAAGCGAUGGUUGCGAGCAGCAUAUCUAUGGCUUCAAAAUGACUUAACGGUGAACACUUCAAUGCAUUCUAUUUUUUAUCAUGGAAACCUCUUCAGGCAAAUUGAAGGCGUUUGAAGAAGAGGAGGUACAGGAUCCCGAAAGCUCAUCGAAGCAGGAGUGUAUGAAUGCAUGCCUUGUCUAUGACUCUUGGAACUAGACGUGUUUCACCGACAGAAUACAACCUGCCACUCUGCCAAGGCAAUCUCCCCAAGAUGUGGCUCCCAAAGCUGAAUGCAGCAUUCCAGAGGGUCUAUAUUGAGCUCUGUCAAGCUGUAAUAUAACUUUGCCCUUCCCCAAGUCCACCCUUUGCAUUUUAGUCCUCUUGAAAUAAAGGCUAUGUUUAUAUUAAAUGCUAGCUAACUUUGUUAACUAUUAAAGUUUACUUUGGUACAAUCUUUUGAGGAUUUCUGAGUUUGGAUUCUU